rnacentral:miRNA from 2 species
UCUUGCCAAUACCGCCCAUUCC